UCGGGAAUUUUGGGCAAUGGGCGAAAGCCUGACCCAGCAACGCCGCGUGAAGGAUGAAGUAUUUCGGUAUGUAAACCUCGAAAGAAUAGGAAGAAUAAAUGACGGUACUAUUUAUAAGGUCCGGCUAACUACGUGCCAGCAGCCGCGGUAAUACGUAGGGACCAAGCGUUGUUCGGAUUUACUGGGCGUAAAGGGCGCGUAGGCGGCAAUUCAAGUCAUCUGUGAAAUCUCCGGGCUUAACUCGGAACGGUCAGAUGAUACUGCUUUGCUAGAGUGCAGAAGGGGCAAUCGGAAUUCUUGGUGUAGCGGUGAAAUGCGUAGAUAUCAAGAGGAACACCUGAGGUGAAGACGGGUUGCUGGGCUGACACUGACGCUGAGGCGCGAAAGCCAGGGGAGCAAACGGGAUUAGAUACCCUUGUAGUCCCUGAGCGGGCUGGCAAGGCGCAU
rnacentral:rRNA from 1 species